rnacentral:rRNA from 1 species
UAGGGAAUCUUCCGCAAUGGGCGAAAGCCUGACGGAGCAACGCCGCGUGAGUGAUGAAGGUCUUCGGAUCGUAAAACUCUGUUAUUAGGGAAGAACAAAUGUGUAAGUAACUAUGCACAUCUUGACGGUACCUAAUCAGAAAGCCACGGCUAACUACGUGCCAGCAGCCGCGGUAAUACGUAGGUGGCAAGCGUUAUCCGGAAUUAUUGGGCGUAAAGCGCGCGUAGGCGGUCAAUUAAGUCUGAUGUGAAAGCCCCCGGCUCAACCGGGGAGGGUCAUUGGAAACUGGUUGACUUGAGUGCAGAAGAGGAGAGUGGAAUUCCAUGUGUAGCGGUGAAAUGCGUAGAUAUAUGGAGGAACACCAGUGGCGAAGGCGACUCUCUGGUCUGUAACUGACGCUGAGGCUCGAAAGCGUGGGGAGCGAACAGG